GGCUGGUCUGAAGGUAGUGAGUUAUCUCAACUGGUUGUUCACAGUCAGUUACAAAUGAAACCCCUUAUUCUGCUCUUUCUCCCCUUCUCACUACUGCUAUUGAGUAGUACUUAA
ensembl:misc_RNA Y_RNA Y RNA